UCGAACGGUAGCACAAAGGAGCUUGCUCCUUGGGUGACGAGUGGCGGACGGGUGAGUAAUGCUUGGGAAUCUGGCUUAUGGAGGGGGAUAACUACGGGAAACUGUAGCUAAUACCGCGUAAUAUCUUAGGAUUAAAGUGUGGGACCGCAAGGCCACAUGCCAUGAGAUGAGCCCAAGUGGGAUUAGGUAGUUGGUGGGGUAAAGGCCUACCAAGCCGACGAUCUCUAGCUGGUCUGAGAGGAUGACCAGCCACACUGGAACUGAGACACGGUCCAGACUCCUACGGGAGGCAGCAGUGGGGAAUAUUGCACAAUGGGGGGAACCCUGAUGCAGCCAUGCCGCGUGAAUGAAGAAGGCCUUCGGGUUGUAAAGUUCUUUCGGUAGCGAGGAAGGUAUCAAAUUUAAUAGAUUUGGUAAUUGACGUUAACUACAGAA
rnacentral:rRNA from 1 species